rnacentral:lncRNA from 1 species
AAGACUCUCUUUUACGGACGUAAACAAUUUUAAAUUUUAGUGAAGCGAGGCGAGUGAGGCUAUGUUAUAAUCGUUCCGUUAACGCUUCCGAGACUGAACCGUAUAAUAAAUAAUAAAACUGAGCUAUAUAAUACAAUAAAACUGACGUGCCGAAAAUCAUUUAAAAGUGCAACAUGCUGUGUCAGUUACCAGGUUGCAGUACACGAUAUUGGGAUAGGAAUAAUAAUCACCCAAUGUUUAGAGCUCUCUCUGAAAAACAGUUGAAAGAUUGGCAAGAAAUAUUAAGACUGAAAGGCGUAGUUGAUUUCGGUAAAAAUGACCGAGUUUGGGUUUUACAUUUCAAAGAAGAACAUAUUGAGCGAGAAAGUAUAAUAUACCAAUCCGGUGAAAUAGUAUCCAAAAAGCCGAGGAAAGUACUGCUUCUGACUCCUACUGCUGUUCCAACAAUUUUUCCCACCAACGUAUCUAGAAGUUUCCCGUAUUGUACCAUGCAAGAGAGCCAAACACGAUUCACAACAAAUUGGUAAGGCUUGCCUUGGUUAUGUGAUGAAAAAUUCAGUUGGUCGUCAAAAACUCUUCUGCUCCCCGUGCAAUAAAUAUCAGACAAAUGCGAAAAGGAGGAUGAGAACAGAAGGUAAGAUCCAUUUGCUGAGAAACAUGAAACAGAAUCUGUGAGUGAAGUGUAAUAAACUUCGUCGUAAAAGUGAGCUUCUUCAAACCAAGGUACGAUUCAAUGAAGACAUUAUAUAACCGUUCGUCACACAUUGUGAUUUCCUAAAAUUAUGAAUCCAUGAAAAUACCAUUGUGCCCUUUAAAGUUAAAGGCACUAAAAAAAACCGUGACUUCGCUGAAACAGCAAUGCCAAGUAGCAGACAAAACAGCCUUGGAAAAAGCGAUUACAAACUACCAUUUAAUGAACAAGUUAGUAUAAAAGCUUGUUCUGCUGCAUCAAAAACAUCAACACUCAGUGGGUGUAUGAAUGUGUUCUGACUCGCAUUAAAAAUAAAAAGGUCUACGAACACCUGCGAAAGCGCAAGAUACUCGUGCUUCCUGAUAUUUCAACAUUGAAUAGAUACGUUAAACGUAUCAUCCUUAUCACGUGAUACUUGUAUGAAAUUCCAGUUGCGCCGUGUGGCCUGCAACUAGUCAUACGGUACUGAAUUUUAUAACAUUCUUCAGGCGUUGUUCGUAGCCUUUGAUCGACAGGUGUAUUUAUUUAUAUCUGUUAGUUUUCCGUACAACUGUUGUUGCUGGUAAAAAGAGAAUUUAAAAAAACAAGUCACAGGCUGUAAUUUACUCUCAUCGUGCGAUCACAAUGAUGAGAUUUAAUUACACUUUGUUCAAUUCAUAUGAGAUUUGAGUUUCUCUGCCAGAGCUUUGCUGUUGCGAAUCUUGAUGUACAUAAUUACUUUUGCGUUUACUUAUAUUCACCAUCAUACUUAAUCCAUUGUUACAAUCAAACAGAUUGCAAUUUUCCGUUUGGUCCGUAUGGUCUUUUUCAUUGGAAAUUCAUUUUUUUUCACCGGCAAAUGGAUUUGAAUGAAUUAAAGAUUCGUCGGUAAAAAUCGAUCUAAAUAUAGCAAACGUUGAAGAGUCGUUAUAAGAAAGUGCAGCGAAUUUUUUUUUUCGAACUUCCCUGGAAUUGCAAUAUUUUGUUAGGAUUAACUGUAGUUAAUUCGAAUUAAGUAAAUAAGUCUGCUUGUUCUAAUAUUUUCUUUCAGCGGUUUGAUUACAAGUUACAGCGAUUUUGUGACAGCGAUAGACUUCUGUUGAUGAUUAGCAACAAACUCUAUUUAGAAAAGCCGUCAUUCGUUAGAUGUCACUCCCAAAAUGUAAAGUUCGUGAAAACCGGAUUCUUUCAAAACUUCGUACCUCCAUAAUACGUGUAUUAUUAUUAUUGUUACAGCGAUCUUGUUAUGGAGCGAACGAUAUAGCUACGAUAUUUAUUCAAAUGAAUUAACUCAAAUGAAUCCAAUAUACCUAUAUAAUACCUAUAUAAGUACAUGUGCACACCUGCAGGCGACAUAAUUCGAAAAGACGAAAUGAGUUGACUGAAAUAACUCUAGUAUUUGCUUCCGAAAGUCUAAUCACAAUAGUAAUUUUCUGAUGACUCUGGGUCAUUACCAAUGAACGUUAUACCUUAUAGCCAUAUUGCUCCAUGCGGCAAAUAUAUUCAUACAUCCAUUUAUUCACAGUUAAAUUUUUCCACACAUAUUUUUUAUCCACCUACACGCCAUUAUAAUUGUAUGCACUUGCGAGCGGAAUCUAUGGCAUGUGCGAACGUAUUUAUAAAGCAAUCUAUGAAUAUUGGAAACAGAAAUCAACUCGAUCAAUUAAUGUUGUAAUUCGAUUCAUUGCCAUCCUGUCACAGACAUCUCAUGCGCGGUAAUAAUUUACUGCAAAAAAGAGGUUGUGCCUCCUCUACGGCUGAUGCAAGAUGCCGCACAGUUUCACGAGACGAGCGAAAAGCUGAUCGACCGGGUUUAUGUUCGCACAAUUAUUAUAAUUUACACAUAUCCGACGACAACGAUGAUGAUUAUGAUGAUUAUCUCGAUAGGAAAUAGUGCCCACGCUUUAUGGUUUUCUCUUUACCAGCGUGGAAAACUAAUAGUCUUUUCACAUUCCAUCGAUUCAGACUCUUUCCAGAUCCACUACAGUAGCCAAGAAAAAUGGCAUGUUCAGAUGUUCUUUGGACAUUUUUUGCUAAAUUAAUGCUUAAUUCGACGCAAACGUCACCCUUAAGACAUUCAACAUGUCUUAGAGAUGCAAUUUUUCCUUUCUUUUAACCGGGUUUCCAAAUACCAUUAAAAGCAAAAGUCGUCGAAGGGAUGACGAAGAUAAUAUUAAUAAAUAUAAAUCUGCUAAAGUUCAUCAAUUCACCGUUUGUGAACUUUUGAUAAGCAUUUUCAAAUGAGGCAGGAGCCGAAAGAUGGUGUAAGGAUGUCUAAUAUAACAAAGACGUAACGUUUUAAAACAUACGUAUUAAGAAUUGUUUUCGAAGACGUCAAUAACGCAUAUAUUACUUUAUUCCAAAACAUCUCAAAGAAGUCGUUUGUAGGUAAUUUAAACGGAUACUUUUGUCUGGAAACUCACAGCAGGUUUCCUGGAUAAAAAAAAAAAGAUGCCACUCGUGUUCAACUUCCUUCCAUCAAGUUACCCGCUGUAACAGCAAUCCGAGA